GUGGGGAAUAUUGGACAAUGGGCGAAAGCCUGAUCCAGCCAUGCCGCGUGUGUGAAGAAGGUCUUCGGAUUGUAAAGCACUUUAAGUUGGGAGGAAGGGCAGUAAGUUAAUACCUUGCUGUUUUGACGUUACCGAGAGAAUAAGCACCGGCUAACUUCGUGCCAGCAGCCGCGGUAAUACGAAGGGUGCAAGCGUUAAUCGGAAUUACUGGGCGUAAAGCGCGCGUAGGUGGUUUUGUAAGUUUGAGGUGAAAUCCACUGGCUCAACCUGGGAACUGCCUCCAAAACUGCAUGACUAGAGUACGGUAGAGGGUGGUGGAAUUUCCUGUGUAGCGGUGAAAUGCGUAGAUAUAGGAAGGAACACCAGUGGCGAAGGCGACUACCUGGACUGAUACUGACACUGAGGUGCGAAAGCGUGGGGAGCAAACAGGAUUAGAUACCCGUGUAGUCC
rnacentral:rRNA from 1 species